GACGAACGCUGGCGGCGUGCUUAACACAUGCAAGUCGAACGGAAAGGCCCUGCUUUUGUGGGGUGCUCGAGUGGCGAACGGGUGAGUAACACGUGAGUAACCUGCCCUUGACUUUGGGAUAACUUCAGGAAACUGGGGCUAAUACCGGAUAGGAGCUCCUGCUGCAUGGUGGGGGUUGGAAAGUUUCGGCGGUUGGGGAUGGACUCGCGGCUUAUCAGCUUGUUGGUGGGGUAGUGGCUUACCAAGGCUUUGACGGGUAGCCGGCCUGAGAGGGUGACCGGCCACAUUGGGACUGAGAUACGGCCCAGACUUCUACGGGAGGCAGCAGUGGGGAAUAUUGCACAAUGGGCGGAAGCCUGAUGCAGCAACGCCGCGUGCGGGAUGACGGCCUUCGGGUUGUAAACCGCUUUCGCCUGUGACGAAGCGUGAGUGACGGCAAUGGGUAAAGAAGCACCGGCUAACUACGUG
rnacentral:rRNA from 1 species